rnacentral:lncRNA from 1 species
UGAAAUCAGGUUCUCACUGCGCUUAUGGGAAGUCCCUAGAUUCAUUGAAUUUUUUCUCAGAAACUGAAAUACACUUCUGGUACCUGCACAUGUCCCCAAAAAAAUCCCAAAUCAGAAUAAGGACCCUUUCGGCCAAUUUCAGAAUUCUAGCACGGCGGCUCCGCCGUGCUCUGGCGACGAUCCGCCUUGGGUUGGCCGUUUCUGGCCGUUUUCGGUCGAAUUUGGUCAAACUUACAUUGGUUCCUGUGAUAAAACACCCUAGGGCCCUCGGUGGGCCAAAAAAUUAUAGAAAACCGAGGCUUACCGGCGGCGGGGCUUUCGGGUGCGGCGGCUCCUCCGACGCGAGUUGCGAUUUGGUGUUUUGCUCCGGUCAACCUGUAGAGAAAAGGACAGUGGUCACGGUGGUAUAAAAAUUACAUCGAACAGGAACCGGGAAGGGCCUCAUUGGAGGCAAAAAUUGAGGAAACCCGCGGCGGUGUCGCUGGGCUUCGGCGGUAUUUUCCAGCCAAUUUGCCGGUGGUUUGGCUCCAAUUUGGCCACAGGGAGGUUCAGCAUCGAAAAACGAGCAGAGGAGAGAAAUUUUACCUCGUUUGGCGGCCAGAAAAUCCUCCGGUACGGCGGCAGGUGGCGGCAACCAGUUCCUCCGAUGGCUGGGUCAUCUUCUCCGGCG